CUGGCUCUGUCAGAGUCCGAGUUGUAAUUUGCAGAGGGUGCUUUGGUGGUAGUUGCGGUCUAAGUUCUUUGGAACAGGACGUCACAGAGGGUGAGAAUCCCGUAUGUGGUCGCUACUUAUCACCGUGUAAAGCCCCUUCGAC
rnacentral:rRNA from 1 species